AUGCUUACUGGGCAGGGGAGAUACCAUGGUCGGUCAUAAAGGUGGUUUUCCCAGGGCGAGGCUCAUCCAUUGUAUUCUGGACUGGCUGAUCUCUGUAUUUUCCCCAAAAUUGCAAAACUGCAUUAUAGUUUGUGGUAGAGGGGGGGGAUUUGUGCUCUCCCCUU